rnacentral:rRNA from 1 species
AUGGUUAAGCUACUAAGAGCACACGGAGGAUGCCUAGGCACUAGGAGCCGAAGAAGGACGUGGCGAACAACGAUACUGCCUCGGGGAGCUGUAAGCAAGCGUCGAUCCGGGGAUGUCCGAAUGGGGAAACCCGGCUGGAUUAAUCUCCAGUCACUCAUACCUGAAUACAUAGGGUGUGAAGAGGCAAACCAGGGGAACUGAAACAUCUAAGUACCCUGAGGAAGAGAAAACAAAAGUGAUUCCGUCAGUAGCGGCGAGCGAACGCGGAGUAGCCCAAACCAGGGAGCUUGCUCUCUGGGGUUGUAGGACGUCUCACAUGGAGUUACCAAGGAUUAGGGUAGGCGAAGAGGUCUGGAAAGGCCCGCUAGAAGAGGUAAAAGCCCUGUAACCGAAAGUCUAAUCCCUCCGAGACGGAUCCUGAGUAGUGCGGGGCACGUGAAACCCCGUAUGAAUCCGGCAGGACCAUCUGCCAAGGCUAAAUACUCCCUAG